UCGAGGCCCGUUUGUCCGG
rnacentral:tRNA from 1 species